CACAAGACCCGUAAUACAUGCAGAUGGGAGCGGUGUGAGGGAGCGAUGAGCAGGGAAUCCUUGUGCAGAGCUUUGGUCCAGGCCUGGGCUGAUCGCUGGCAGGACCAUUCCUCAUCCUGAUACCGCAUGGAGGUUGCAUUCACAAUGAAGCAUUUGAAAGCCCAUUAGCUCCACUUUCCAGCAUCGUAAAGCCAACAGCAACCUGAUAUCAUCAGUAACAGUCCACGAGAAGAUGACAGCCAGACGACAAGUGAGAUGUGGACAGACUAAAGGAGCUGAGAGAACGAAGAGAUAUCGGUGAUGGGAACAAAUUGAAACAAAAUGGCGGGCGAUACGCUGCAAGGAGAUGCUUGGGGAGAUGUCAUGUGGGCCAGUGGUGAGAAUUUACGGCAUGAGACGCAUCAUCAUGGGUCGUCUUAGAUAAUGAUCGCUUUUGAGAAGCAAUCCUCGACAUUUUACUUAUGCUGUUUCGGCAACGGGAAAAGAACAGCA